rnacentral:rRNA from 1 species
UGCUAGUCGCACGAGCUCAGACUCGUGGCGAAUAGCUCAGUAACACGUGGCCAAACUACCCUUCGGAGCACGAUACCCUCGGGAAACUGAGGCUAAUAGUGUAUACCAUACCACCACUGGAAUGAGUGGUAUGCCAAACGCUCCGGCGCCGAAGGAUGUGGCUGCGGCCGAUUAGGUAGACGGUGGGGUAACGGCCCACCGUGCCAAUAAUCGGUACGGGUCAUGAGAGUGAGAACCCGGAGACGGAAUCUGAGACAAGAUUCCGGGCCCUACGGGGCGCAGCAGGCGCGAAACCUUUACACUGCACGACAGUGCGAUAGGGGGAUCCCAAGUGCACAGGCAUAGCGCCUGUGCUUUUCGGCACCCUAAGGCGGUGCCAGAAUAAGGGCUGGGCAAGACCGGUGCCAGCCGCCGCGGUAAUACCGGCAGCCCAAGUGAUGGCCGAUCUUAUUGGGCCUAAAGCGUCCGUAGCUGGCCGCGCAAGUCCAUCGGGAAAUCCACCUGCUCAACAGGUGGGCGCCCGGUAGAAACUGCGUGGCUUGGGACCGGAAGGCGCGACGGGUACGUCCGGGGUAGGAGUGAAAUCCCGUAAUCCUGGACGGACCGCCGAUGGCGAAAGCACGUCGCGAGGACGGAUCCGACAGUGAGGGACGAAAGCCAGGGUCUCGAACCGGAUUAGAUACCCGGGUAGUCCUGGCCGUAAACAAUGCCUGUUAGGUGUGGCUCCCACUACGAGUGGGUGCUGUGCCGUAGGGAAGCCG